rnacentral:siRNA from 1 species
GAUCUGUUAAUUUCAAGGGCCAA